rnacentral:rRNA from 1 species
CUCGUAGGCGGUCUGUCGCGUCGGAUGUGAAAAUCCAGGGCUCAACCCUGGACCUGCAUUCGAUACGGGCAGACUAGAGUUCGGUAGGGGAGACUGGAAUUCCUGGUGUAGCGGUGAAAUGCGCAGAUAUCAGGAGGAACACCGGUGGCGAAGGCGGGUCUCUGGGCCGAUACUGACGCUGAGGAGCGAAAGCGUGGGGAGCGAACAGGAUUAGAUACCCUGGUAGUCCACGCCGUAAACGUUGGGCGCUAGGUGUGGGGAACCUUCCACGUUCUCCGUGCCGCAGCUAACGCAUUAAGCGCCCCGCCUGGGGAGUACGGCCGCAAGGCUAAA